UACGUAGGCAGCGAGCGUUUGUUCGGAGUUACUGGGCGUAAAGGGUGUGUAGGCGGUUGUUUAAGUUUGGUGUGAAAUCUCCCGGCUCAACUGGGAGGGUGCGCCGAAUACUGAAUGACUAGAGUGUGGGAGAGGUGAGUGGAAUUCCUGGUGUAGUGGUGAAAUGCGUAGAUAUCAGGAGGAACACCGGUGGUGUAGACGGCUCACUGGACCAUAACUGACGCUGAGACACGAAAGCGUGGGUAGCAAACAGG
rnacentral:rRNA from 1 species